rnacentral:rRNA from 1 species
GGACCCGCACAAGCAGUGGAGCAUGUGGUUUAAUUCGAAGAUACGCGCAGAACCUUACCAACACUUGACAUGUUCGUCGCGAGCCUAAGAGAUUAGGCUUUUCAGUUUGGCUGGACGAAACACAGGUGCUGCAUGGCUGUCGUCAGCUCGUGUCGUGAGAUGUUGGGUUAAGUCCCGCAACGAGCGCAACCCCCUACUUUUAGUUGCCACCAUUUAGUUGGGCACUUUAAAAGAACUGCCAGUGAUAAGCUGGAGGAAGGUGGGGAUGACGUCAAGUCCUCAUGGCCCUUAUGUGUUGGGCUACACACGUGCUACAAUGGCACUUACAAUGGGAAGCAAAGAGGUGACUCCUAGCUAAUCCCAAAAAUGUGUCUCAGUUCGGAUUGUACUCUGUAACUCGAGUGCAUGAAGCUGGAAUUGCUAGUAAUCGUGGAUC